rnacentral:rRNA from 1 species
CCUACGGGCGGCAGCAGUGAGGAAUAUUGGUCAAUGGGCGUAAGCCUGAACCAGCCAAGCCGCGUGAGGGAUGAAGGUUCUAUGGAUCGUAAACCUCUUUUAUAAGGGAAUAAAGUGUGGGACGUGUCCUAUUUUGUAUGUACCUUAUGAAUAAGGAUCGGCUAACUCCGUGCCAGCAGCCGCGGUAAUACGGAGGACCCGAUCGUUAUCCGGAUUGAUUGGGUUUAAGGGGUGCGUAGGCGGCCUUUUAAGUCAGCGGUGAAAGUCUGUGGGUCAAACAUAGAAUGGCCGUUGAAACUGGUGAGCUUGAGUAUGUUUGAGGCAGGCGGAAUGCGUGGUGUAGCGGUGAAAUGCUUAGAUAUCACGCAGAACCCCGAUGGCGAAGGCAGCCUGCCAAGCCAUGACUGACGCUGAUGCACGAAAGCGUGGGGAUCAAACAGGAUUAGAUACCCGGGUAGUC